CCCUCUGCCGUUACCCAGUUAGUCUCUCUCUGUCACACCGCAAUACGUCACUAAUUGGGCAAUGGGUUGCGAUUGAUUAGGCUACCUGACAUAUUACCCACAGGCUUAUGUAUAGGCACCCGGGGUCCUAAAGCCGGUAGCUCGUCAACACCACUGGUUCUGGGAUUGUGUAGCAGAGUCACGGGUGCUGCGUGAAAUAAACAGGUAUGUCUGGGCAAAGGUUUCUUUAAGUUCUUCCGUCACUGAUUACUAGCUUGCUAAGUGGCUACUUGUUUAACUAUGGUAUAGGAGGGCAGACGCUGGCAGAGCCGCUGUGUUUUGAUGUACGUGUGUGGGCGUGACGCCGUGUGUGCAAAAAGUGUCUGCUGGGCACUGUUACCAUAGCAGAGAGGGCAGUUAUUCUCCAGAAGCCAUCAGCCACAGUGUAGUAGCCAUCUUGAAAAGCGUUAGACCCUCGCAGCUACCCAGGGCUGCUAGUUGCUGUUCUCUUUUAAUGUGUAUUUGAUGCAUUGGUGCCGCGUAUAGUUUGUUUACUUUUUUUUUGUUCCUCUAGCCUAUCGGCCUAAGUAGCUUGUGUAGGUACUACCUAUUUAAUGUGAGCCGCAGGCUAGAGUGGAUUUAUUUUGUUUGUUUUUCUUUUUUACUGUACUUCCAGUUCGUGUGUCUCCCUCCCCCUCCACAGCUAAUAGCCUCGGUGCUUAUAAGGCCCAUUAGUACCUGACCUUGGAUAGCCGGUCUCUGUAGUUUUUCUCACUCUAGUAGCCUACAGAGAUUGCAGUGUGCAUGUAGUUUGAACUCUUAAUUGCCGUGUCACAUAUCACAGAGUGUCUUGGAUAUUGUAGUGCAUUUUCCCUGAAUCUAAAACACGUGUUAUUUAGUGUGCACAAGACCACGUGUGUUAGAGACCUGGCCUGACAUCAGUUCUCCUAGUGGCCCAGUACCGAGGUUCCCCAGUCCCCCUAUUGUGUCUAUGUAUUUUUUUGUAUUAUAUCUGGUGACCAACCAACGCUACUCGUGUCUACUAUUUUUAUACUUUCACCAAAAACUGGCAAU